CCUACGGGCGGCAGCAGUGAGGAAUAUUGGUCAAUGGGCGAGAGCCUGAACCAGCCAAGUCGCGUGAGGGAGUACUGCCCUAUGGGUUGUAAACCUCUUUUGUCGGGGAGCAAAAGCCGGACGUGUCCGGCUGUGAGAGUACCCGAAGUAAAAGCCUCGGCUAACUCCGUGCCAGCAGCCGCGGUAAUACGGAGGAUGCGAGCGUUAUCCGGAUUUAUUGGGUUUAAAGGGUGCGCAGGCGGAUUUUUAAGUCAGCGGUAAAAUCGUGGGGCUCAACCCCAUCCAGCCGUUGAAACUGGGGAUCUAGAGUGUGCGAGAGGUAUGCGGAAUGCGUGGUGUAGCGGUGAAAUGCAUAGAUAUCACGCAGAACCCCGAUUGCGAAGGCAGCAUACCGGUGCACAACUGACGCUCAGGCACGAAAGCGUGGGUAUCGAACAGGAUUAGAUACCCGGGUAGUC
rnacentral:rRNA from 1 species